ensembl:snoRNA U3 Small nucleolar RNA U3
AAGAUCAUACUUUCAGGGAUCAUUUCUAUAGAUUUUGACUUGAGAAAUAUCGUACGAAAGUGAUCGGUUACUCUAACCACGAUGAAGAGUAUUGAUGUUCCCUUCUGAGCGCGAAGCGGGUAGCGAGUAAUGAUUGAUUUCAUCCGCUCGUUGUCAUUGAUGACCGUUCCUUGCUCCCUCGUGGAGCCUGGAGGUAGGGAGCAUGAUCAGAGUGGU